CCGGCGAGGGGAGUGAAAAAGAACCUGAAACCGUGUACGUACAAGCAGUGGGAGCACGCUUAGGCGUGUGACUGCGUACCUUUUGUAUAAUGGGUCAGCGACUUAUAUUCUGUAGCAAGGUUAACCGAAUAGGGGAGCCGAAGGGAAACCGAGUCUUAACUGGGCGUUAAGUUGCAGGGUAUAGACCCGAAACCCGGUGAUCUAGCCAUGGGCAGGUUGAAGGUUGGGUAACACUAACUGGAGGACCGAACCGACUAAUGUUGAAAAAUUAGCGGAUGACUUGUGGCUGGGGGUGAAAGGCCAAUCAAACCGGGAGAUAGCUGGUUCUCCCCGAAAGCUAUUUAGGUAGCGCCUCGUGAAUUCAUCUCCGGGGGUAGAGCACUGUUUCGGCAAGGGGGUCAUCCCGACUUACCAACCCGAUGCAAACUGCGAAUACCGGAGAAUGUUAUCACGGGAGACACACGGCGGGUGCUAACGUCCGUCGUGAAGAGGGAAACAACCCAGACCGCCAGCUAAGGUCCCAAAGUCAUGGUUAAGUGGGAAACGAUGUGGGAAGGCCCAGACAGCCAGGAUGUUGGCUUAGAAGCAGCCAUCAUUUAAAGAAAGCGUAAUAGCUCACUGGUCGAGUCGGCCUGCGCGGAAGAUGUAACGGGGCUAAACCAUGCACCGAAGCUGCGGCAGCGACGCUGAUGCGUUGUUGGGUAGGGGAGCGUUCUGUAAGCCUGCGAAGGUGUGCUGUGAGGCAUGCUGGAGGUAUCAGAAGUGCGAAUGCUGACAUAAGUAACGAUAAAGCGGGUGAAAAGCCCGCUCGCCGGAAGACCAAGGGUUCCUGUCCAACGUUAAUCGGGGCAGGGUGAGUCGACCCCUAAGGCGAGGCCGAAAGGCGUAGUCGAUGGGAAACAGGUUAAUAUUCCUGUACUUGGUGUUACUGCGAAGGGGGGACGGAGAAGGCUAUGUUGGCCGGGCGACGGUUGUCCCGGUUUAAGCGUGUAGGCUGGUUUUCCAGGCAAAUCCGGAAAAUCAAGGCUGAGGCGUGAUGACGAGGCACUGCGGUGCUGAAGCAACAAAUGCCCUGCUUCCAGGAAAAGCCUCUAAGCAUCAGGUAACAUCAAAUCGUACCCCAAACCGACACAGGUGGUCAGGUAGAGAAUACCAAGGCGCUUGAGAGAACUCGGGUGAAGGAACUAGGCAAAAUGGUGCCGUAACUUCGGGAGAAGGCACGCUGAUAUGUAGGUGAAGUCCCUCGCGGAUGGAGCUGAAAUCAGUCGAAGAUACCAGCUGGCUGCAACUGUUUAUUAAAAACACAGCACUGUGCAAACACGAAAGUGGACGUAUACGGUGUGACGCCUGCCCGGUGCCGGAAGGUUAAUUGAUGGGGUUAGCGCAAGCGAAGCUCUUGAUCGAAGCCCCGGUAAACGGCGGCCGUAACUAUAACGGUCCUAAGGUAGCGAAAUUCCUUGUCGGGUAAGUUCCGACCUGCACGAAUGGCGUAAUGAUGGCCAGGCUGUCUCCACCCGAGACUCAGUGAAAUUGAACUCGCUGUGAAGAUGCAGUGUACCCGCGGCAAGACGGAAAGACCCCGUGAACCUUUACUAUAGCUUGACACUGAACAUUGAGCCUUGAUG
rnacentral:rRNA from 1 species